CCCAUGGCCUGUUAGAAACCAGGCCACACAGCAGGAGGUGAGCAGCAGACAAGCAAGCAAAGCUUCAUCUGUAUUUACAGCCACUCCCCAUCACAGGCAUUACUGCCUGAGCUCCGCCUCCUGUCAGAUGGGACCAUGUAGAUACAGGAAAACAAGCUCAGGGCUCCAACUGAUUCUACAUCAUGAUAUCCUUUCAGGUCCUGCACACCAGUGAAACUAAUGAGGUCAGCUGAUCUGAAGGACCCCAUCGACAUCAGCAGUUCUGAAGGAUCAUACAAGGAGCUGACUCACUGAAUGCAGUUUCCACAUCCUGACGACUUCAUCCCUUUGACCCCAACCACUCAAUGACCCCAAUUUUCCAGUCCCUCAUUCUCCACAAUCCCCUUAAAAACCCCAGCCCAGAACUCCUCAGGGAGAUGGACUUGAAGAUCUCCUCUCAUCUCCUUGCUCAGCCGCCCUGCAAUCAUUAAACUCUUUCUCUGCUGCAAACCCUACUGUCUCAGUGUAUUGGUAUGUUGCUGUGCAGUGGGCAUACAAAC
rnacentral:lncRNA from 1 species